CCUACGGGUGGCAGCAGUAGGGAAUUUUCGUCAAUGGGCGCAAGCCUGAACGAGCGAUGCCGCGUGAGUGAAGAAGGCCUUCGGGUCGUAAAGCUCUGUUGCGGGGGAAAAAAGGCAGCAUCAGGAAAUGGGUGCUGACUGAUGGUGCCCCGCCAGAAAGUCACGGCUAACUCCGUGCCAGCAGCCGCGGUAAUACGGAGGAUCCGAGCGUUAUCCGGAUUUAUUGGGUUUAAAGGGUGCGUAGGCGGUCAGGUAAGUUAGAGGUGAAAGCUCGAUGCUCAACAUCGAAACUGCCUCUGAUACUGUCUGACUAGAGUGUAGUUGCGGAAGGCGGAAUGUGUGGUGUAGCGGUGAAAUGCUUAGAUAUCACACAGAACACCGAUUGCGAAGGCAGCUUUCCAAGCUAUUACUGACGCUGAGGCACGAAAGCGUGGGGAGCGAACAGGAUUAGAUACCCGGGUAGUC
rnacentral:rRNA from 1 species